rnacentral:rRNA from 1 species
AAACUGAAGAGUUUGAUCCUGGCACAGAGUGAACGCGGGUGGCAUGCUUAACACAUGCAAGGCGAACGGUACCAGGUCUGAGGAUGCUGACUAGUGGCGGACGGGGGAGUAACGCG